GACAGAGGCCUCAAGCGUUAGGCGGAAUCACUGGGCUUAAAGCGUGUGUAGGCGGAUCGUUAAGUGUCUUGUGAAAUCCCACGGCUCACCCGUGGAACUGCUGGGCAUACUGGCGAUCUUGGGCCAACUAGGGGCAGCCGGAACAAGCGGUGGAGCGGUGAAAUGCGUAGAUAUCGCUUGGAACGCCGAAGGUGAAAACAGGCUGCUGGGGUUGUG
rnacentral:rRNA from 1 species